rnacentral:rRNA from 1 species
AACUCCGGUUCUGCAGUGGGUACGGGCAGACUAGAGUGCAGUAGGGGAGACUGGAAUUCCUGGUGUAGCGGUGAAAUGCGCAGAUAUCAGGAGGAACACCGAUGGCGAAGGCAGGUCUCUGGGCUGUAACUGACGCUGAGGAGCGAAAGCAUGGGGAGCGAACAGGAUUAGAUACCCUGGUAGUCCAUGCCGUAAACGUUGGGCACUAGGUGUGGGGGACAUUCCACGUUUUCCGCGCCGUAGCUAACGCAUUAAGUGCCCCGCCUGGGGAGUACGGCCGCAAGGCUAAAACUCAAAGGAAUUGACGGGGGCCCGCACAAGCGGCGGAGCAUGCGGAUUAAUUCGAUGCAACGCGAAGAACCUUACCAAGGCUUGACAUGAACCGGAAAGACCUGGAAACAGGUGCCCCGCUUGCGGUCGGUUUACAGGUGGUGCAUGGUUGUCGUCAGCUCGUGUCGUGAGAUGUUGGGUUAAGUCCCGCAACGAGCGCAACCCUCGUUCUAUGUUGCCAGCGCGUUAUGGCGGGGACUCAUAGGAGACUGCCGGGGUCAACUCGGAGGAAGGUGGGGACGACGUCAAAUCAUCAUGCCCCUUAUGUCUUGGGCUUCACGCAUGCUACAAUGGCCGGUACAAAGGGUUGCGAUACUGUGAGGUGGAGCUAAUCCCAAAAAGCCGGUCUCAGUUCGGAUUGGGGUCUGCAACUCGACCCCAUGAAGUCGGAGUCGCUAGUAAUCGCAGAUCAGCAACGCUGCGGUGAAUACGUUCCCGGGCCUUGUACACACCGCCCGUCAAGUCACGAAAGUUGGUAACACCCGAAGCCGGUGGCC